CAGCGCCACGAGUGGGGAUCACGAUUAUUGGGCCUAAAGCGUCCGUAGCCGGCUUGAUAAAUCUCUUGUGAAAUCGUUUGGCUCAACCAAACGGCGAGCAGGAGACACUAUUAAGCUUGAGACCGGGAAGGGUUAGAGGUAUGUUUGGGGGAGCGGUAAAAUGCUAUAAUCCCUUACAGACCAAUGGUGGCGAAGGCGUCUAACUAGAACGGAUCUGACGGUGAGGGACGAAAGCCAGGGGAGCAAUCCGGAUUAGAUACCCGAGUAGUCC
rnacentral:rRNA from 1 species